rnacentral:rRNA from 1 species
AGCGAACGCUGGCGGCAGGCCUAACACAUGCAAGUCGAACGAAGUCUUCGGACUUAGUGGCGGACGGGUGAGUAACACGUGGGCACGUGCCUCUAGGUUCGGAAUAACUCAGGGAAACCUGUGCUAAUACCGAAUGUGCCCCUCGGGGGAAAGAUUUAUCGCCUUUAGAGCGGCCCGCGUCUGAUUAGCUAGUUGGUGAGGUAAAGGCUCACCAAGGCGACGAUCAGUAGCUGGUCUGAGAGGAUGAUCAGCCACAUUGGGACUGAGACACGGCCCAAACUCCUACGGGAGGCAGCAGUGGGGAAUCUUGCGCAAUGGGCGAAAGCCUGACGCAGCCAUGCCGCGUGAAUGAUGAAGGUCUUAGGAUUGUAAAAUUCUUUCACCGGGGACGAUAAUGACGGUACCCGGAGAAGAAGCCCCGGCUAACUUCGUGCCAGCCGCCGCCGUAA